CACGUAAGGGGCAAGCGUUGUCCGGAAUCACUGGGCGUAAAGGGAGCGUAGGUGGUAAGAAAAGUCAGAUGUGAAAGUUUGCGGCUCAACCGUAAAAUUGCAUUUGAAACUUUCUUACUAGAGUAUCGGAGAGGAAAGCGGAAUUCCUGGUGUAGCGGUGAAAUGCGCAGAUAUCAGGAAGAACACCAAUGGCGAAGGCAGCUUUCUGGAAGAUAACUGACACCGAGGCUCGAAAGCAUGGGGAGCAAACAGGAUUAGAUACCCUGGUAGUCCAUGCCGUAAACGUUGGAUACUAGGUGUAGGAGGUACCGACCCCUUCUGUGCCGCAGCAAACGCAUUAAGUAUCUCGCCUGGGGAGUACGCUCGCAAGGGUGAA
rnacentral:rRNA from 1 species